GCCGUCACGGUAUGAGGGCCAGGACCUCGUCGACGGAGGCGGCGGGGUCGGUGACCGGGAACUGGACCUCGCGGAUCGUGCCCGUGGGGUCGACG
rnacentral:tRNA from 1 species